ACUGUACUCUUGCCUUCACUGAUAACUAUUUAGUUUAUCUCCUCAAAAUGAUGUUUCCUGUCCAGUCCCUGUUUCUGCCAAUUUUCUGCAUUCUGGGAACCAAUGGUGAUGUUGUGAUGACCCAGACUCCACUCUCUUUACCGGUUACCAUUGGACAAUCAGCCUCCAUCUCUUGCCGGUCAAGUCAGAGUCUCUUAUACAGUGAUGGAAAUACCUAUUUGAGUUGGUACCUACAGAGACCAGGCCAGUCUCCACAGCGCCUAAUCUAUUUGGUGUCCAACCGUGACUCUGGAGUCCCUGACAGGUUCAGUGGCAGUGGGUCAGGGACAGAUUUCACACUCAAAAUCAACAGAGUAGAGGCUGAGGAUAUAGGAGUUUACUACUGCUUCCAAGGUACACAUGUUCCUCCCACAGUGAUACAGACCCUAACAAAAACCUCCUUGCUUGGAGAGGUUCAGCUGCAAUGUGCUGCUUGA